rnacentral:rRNA from 1 species
GGACAGAAGGGAGCUUGCUCCCGGAUGUUAGCGGCGGACGGGUGAGUAACACGUGGGUAACCUGCCUGUAAGACUGGGAUAACUCCGGGAAACCGGAGCUAAUACCGGAUAGUUCCUUGAACCGCAUGGUUCAAGGAUGAAAGACGGUUUCGGCUGUCACUUACAGAUGGACCCGCGGCGCAUUAUCUAGUUGGUGGGGUAAUGGCUCACCAAGGCGACGAUGCGUACCCAACCUGAGAGGGUGAUCGGCCACACUGGGACUGAGACACGGCCCAAACUCCUACGGGAGGCAGCAAUAGGGAAUCUUCCGCAAUGGACGAAAGUCUGACGGACCAACGCCGCGUGAGUGAUGAAGGUUUUCGGAUCGUAAAGCUCUGUUGUUAGGGAAGAACAAGUGCAAAGUAACUGCUCGCACCUUGACGGUACCUAACCAGAAAGCCACGGCUAACUACGUGCCAGCAGCCGCGGUAAUACGUAGGUGGCAAGCGUUGUCCGGAAUUAUUGGGCGUAAAGGGCUCGCAGGCGGUUUCUUAAGUCUGAUGUGAAAGCCCCCGGCUCAACCGGGGAGGGUCAUUGGAAACUGGGAAACUUGAGUGCAGAAAGGAGAGUGGAAUUCCACGUGUAGCGGUGAAAUGCGUAAGAUGUGGAGGAACACCAUUGGCAAAGCCACUCUCUGGUCUGUAACUGACGCUGAGGAGCGAAAACGUGGGGAGCGAACAGGAUUAAU